GUCAAAUUACAUGGUGUUAGAACAGUGAAAGAAAUUUGAAAUUUUUUUUUCUUCUCUUGCUAUCUAAUGAAGUAGCCAACACCGUAGUUUUGGAUCACAAAGCUAGGGCUUCUCUGGUCUCCUUCCUCUAGUGGUUUGUUAUUAUCAUCUCCUGCACCAGAGGAAGCGCCAGCUGUAGGCUGCCCUUCUGCCACAGAUCCACGUGCCGGCGCGUGGAGGCGCGUCCCUUGCUUGAUUUUGCUCUUAUUUAUCUUGAACGACUUGCCUCGACUUCUACAACCUGUUUAUACUUUGUACACCUAUUUGGGAUCUUUCCACGAAGAAGGUUAUUGGUAAAAGACAUGAAUCUGGAGGUCUCUACAUUCUGGAUACACAAAUUUCAAGAUCUAUAGCCUGUUCUAGAGUUAUAACCACUUUUGAAGUACAUUGUAGGUUGGGUCAUCCUUCUCUUCAUGUGUUAAAACAACUUUGUCCUCAGUUUCAAAGUUUGUCUUUAUUAAAUUAUGAGUCUUGUCAGUUGGCGAAAUA